rnacentral:rRNA from 1 species
UCAGGACGAACGCUGGCGGCGUGCCUAAUACAUGCAAGUCGAACGGUCUUUCUAUGGAAGCUUGCUUCCACUGAGAAGAUAGUGGCGGACGGGUGAGUAACACGUGGGUAACCUGCCCAUAAGAGGGGGAUAACAUCCGGAAACGGGUGCUAAUACCGCAUAGUUUUCUUGAUCGCAUGAUCGGGAAAGGAAAGACGGCCUUUGUGCUGUCGCUUAUGGAUGGACCCGCGGCGUAUUAGUUAGUUGGUGAGGUAACGGCUCACCAAGACGAUGAUACGUAGCCGACCUGAGAGGGUGAUCGGCCACAUUGGGACUGAGACACGGCCCAAACUCCUACGGGAGGCAGCAGUAGGGAAUCUUCCGCAAUGGACGAAAGUCUGACGGAGCAACGCCGCGUGAGUGAAGAAAGGUUUUCGGAUCGUAAAACUCUGUUGUCAGAGAAGAACAAGUUGGAGAGUAACUGCUCCAGCCUUGACGGUAUCUGACCAGAAAGCCACGGCUAACUACGUGCCAGCCGCUGC